rnacentral:lncRNA from 12 species
ACCUUUUCUCUCCAGUUCCCCCCAAAAAUGCUGUUGCCUAAUGCCCUCAUCUCUCAUCACUAGGUUGGAGAAGUUCUGUGCCCAGUUCUGCAGUAUUGCACUGGAGAUGCCUCCUUUUGACUUUUGUGCCUUGUUUAUUUGGGAGCCUAUCACCAGAGAUGAUUUAACUUGAAAAAAGUGGAAAAAGGAAAUCUAUCUCAGAGAAGAGAAAAGCUCUCUUGACACCUGGGAUAUGGAGAGACAAAGGUAAAGUGAAAAAUGGGCAGAGAGAGGGCUCCUCUGCCUGAGAUGGGAGGCUCUGUAGGGU